CUGCUUGUGUAAUCUGCAGUAGGGUUAGAUGAAUGACCCCACAUAAUCCACUGACUAGAUCCCCAGUGACAAUAAUAAGAUGUCACUGGGGACACUGGUCCUUCUGCUGAUGUGGACAUGGUCACUGGUCCU